UUUUGGGACCAUUUAUUACAAAUGAAAUUCUCGUGGUCGGAGGGAGGGACACUGCAUUUUUAGUGCAUGCUGAGUUGUUGGGUUUUUUUUCUUUUAAACAAUUAAAGAUCAGUUUUAAUUUCUAUUUUCCAAGAGGAUAAAACGGAAGCUGGAUGCAGAAUAGAUGGCUCUGCUUGGUUGGUCGCUGUUUUUCUUUCUGUUCCCCCCGCCCCCCCAUUGGAUAUCCAGUAAUAACUAAGCCAAGGACUGACUGCUUCCCAGACAUCUCCAGGGACUGCUGUGUCACAGCGCUGCUUCGCAUGGCACGCGUCGAGCUGUCGGCUUCACGCCGUGGAAGACGCGGCAUUGGAACAAUUUUCUGCUUCGUUAAAACAAGCUGCAGCUUCUCAGAGCAGAUUUCCCUGUUUGCAACUUCAAAUGGCAUAGCUGAGCUGUUGUGCAGUUGUAGAAGUGACUCUGUGCUACAAGGGGACACGUGAGUCCUUAGCACCUGUGAGCCGGGCUCUGCUGGAUGGCACUCGUGUGGACCUGGGGAUGGCGGUGCUGCACCCUCAGCUCUGGACACGAAGGACCUGAGGAAUUCCUCGCUGGUCAAAGCGGAGCGGCCUGCAGUAUUGCUGGUGCGUGCUUGCUCUCCUGCUGCCCACCAUCUCUUUUUCUUCUUGAGUCUUUUCUCCAUCAGUAAAGAUGAUUAACCACCUCCAGUGCUACUCAAGCAGCAGAGUUGCACAGUGUGUGCCUUUAUUAACCUAAGGCUGAAAAACUGUUACCUGGCCCGAGGACCCAGGCUGUCCUGAUGCUCUCUGAACAGCUUCCAAGGCAGCUCCUCUCAGGCUCUGACUGAAGCGGGUCAGCGCUCACUCAGUGCUCCCCACCACGUCAGCUCUCUCCUCAAGUACUGUCAGGAGCUUAAAAAAUGCUUCAGACCAACACGAGUCUUUUUCCAACAGCGAAAACAUCCAUUUUUACAGCUACUAGAAAAACUGUACAAAGGGGCGUUAAGAUGUGCUGCUCACGUUUCUCUUCAGAUUCCUGUAGAAGGCAGCAGGCAGCACACAGAGCAGCCCACGGCUGGGGCUGUCACCCCGCAUCUCAGCCCCCAGGGGUCGCCCACAGCUGCUUCCCCUGCACGGAUCCUGCUGGGGCCCUUCCACUACCAAUCCUUUGGGAAAAGUAAAGAACAUCUGCCAACAUGUAUCAGUUAUAAAUACUAUUUUAAUAAAAAGCUACAUGGAACUUGAAGCGGUUGGGCUGUUUCUUUUAAUGUCAGAGUUACAGUCAACAACGUGCUAAGGACAUCCUCUCCCGUGCUUCAUUUUAAGUCUGCCAAAGACAAACUGGUAAAUGAUUUGUUUGUUUAAAGACUUGACUUUGGAACCAAAUUGCUCUGGUGAUGUUCCUAGUUCUUACUUGGCACGGGAAGCUUCUGUUUUGUUCUUUAACUUAUUCAUAGCAAACUUGGAUCUAAGGUACAGGUAAACUGCCUGGAAGGUGUGAACAACAGUGUGACCUCCAGCUCUCCUCACUUCAUGCUGCAUGAGGUGUUUCUUCACAUACAAGACGGUCACAGUAGCACUUCCAUGUGAACUCAGACUCCAUUACGG
rnacentral:lncRNA from 1 species